rnacentral:rRNA from 1 species
ACGGAGGGUGCAAGCGUUAUUCGGAAUUACUGGGCGUAAAGCGCGUGUAGGCGGUCCUGCAAGUCUGAUGUGAAAGCCCCGGGCUUAACCCGGGAAGUGCAUUGGAAACUGUGAGACUUGAGUACUGGAGAGGAUGGUGGAAUUCCCGGUGUAGCGGUGAAAUUCUUAGAGAUCACGCGGAAUAUCAGCGGCGAAGGCGCCCAUCUGGCCCGUUACUGACGCUGAGACGCGAAAGCGUGGGGAGCAAACAG